UUUGCCACAACCUUCAGCUUCAUAUUUUGGAGAAAUAAAUUUUGCUGCCGAAGUAUCUGAUGUUUGUUUGCAAGAACAAGCUUCAACUUCAUCUUGUGAUAAAAUGCCAUCUAUUUGUGAAGGAUCUCAUGUUUGUUUGCAAGAACAGCCUUUAGCCUCAUUUUGCAAUGAAAUACCAUCUAUUUGUG